rnacentral:rRNA from 1 species
ACUGGCCAGCUAGAGUCUUGUAGAGGGGGGUAGAAUUCCAUGUGUAGCGGUGAAAUGCGUAGAGAUCUGGAGGAAUACCGGUGGCGAAGGCGGCCCCCUGGACAAAGACUGACGCUCAGGUGCGAAAGCGUGGGGAGCAAACAGGAUUAGAUACCCUGGUAGUCCACGCUGUAAACGAUGUCGACUUGGAGGUUGUGCCCUUGAGGCGUGGCUUCCGGAGCUAACGCGUUAAGUCGACCGCCUGGGGAGUACGGCCGCAAGGUUAAAACUCAAAUGAAUUGACGGGGGCCCGCACAAGCGGUGGAGCAUGUGGUUUAAUUCGAUGCAACGCGAAGAACCUUACCUACUCUUGACAUCCAGAGAACUCACUAGAGAUACCUUAGUGCCUUCGGGAACUCUGAGACAGGUGCUGCAUGGCUGUCGUCAGCUCGUGUUGUGAAAUGUUGGGUUAAGUCCCGCAACGAGCGCAACCCUUAUCCUUUGUUGCCAGCGCGUAAUGGCGGGAACUCAAAGGAGACUGCCGGUGAUAAACCGGAGGAAGGUGGGGGAUGACGUCAAGUCAUCAUGGCCCUUACGAGUAGGGCUACACACGUGCUACAAUGG